UUAAAAACUGCUUCGCGCGGGGGUUAAACCAACCGGUGGGUUGGUAGCUGAAGGUACCGGGAGAAUAAGCAUGGGAUAAUUCCGUGCCAGCAGCCGCGGUAAUACGGGGGAUGCGAGCGUUAUCCGGAUUUACCGGGUUUAAAGGGUGCGCAGGCGGUUGUUUAAGUCAGGGGUGAAAGUCCUAUGCUCAACAUAGGGAUUGCCUUUGAUACUGAACGGCUAGAGUGAAGAUGGAGUGGGUGGAAUGUGUUGUGUAGCGGUGAAAUGCAUAGAUAUAACACAGAACACCGAUCGCGAAGGCAGCUCACUAAUUUUCAACUGACGCUCAUGCACGAAAGCGUGGGGAUCAAACAGGAUUAGAUACCCUGGCAGUCCACGCUGUAAACGAUGAUCACUAGCUGUUGGUACGCUGAAGUAUCAGUGGCUAAGCGAAAGUGAUAAGUGAUCCACCUGGGGAGUACGACCGCAAGGUUGAAACUCAAAGGAAUUGACGGGGGCCCGCACAAGCGGAGGAGCAUGUGGUUUAAUUCGAUGAUGCGCGAGGAACCUUACCAGGGCUCGAACGCAGGGGGGAUAUACCUGAAAGGGUAUAGCCAGCGAUGGUCGCCUGCGAGGUGCUGCAUGGUUGUCGUCAGCUCGUGCCGUGAGGUGUCAGGUUAAGUCCUAUAACGAGCGCAACCCCUAUCCAUAGUUGCCAGCGGGUAAAGCCGGGGACUCUAUGGGAACUGCCUGCGCAAGCAGAGAGGAAGGAGGGGAUGACGUCAAAUCAGCACGGCCCUUAUGUCCUGGGCUACACACGUGCUACAAUGGUCGGUACAGAGGGCAGCGACCACGUGAGUGGGAGCCAAUCCUUAAAAGCCGAUCUCAGUUCGGAUUGGAGUCUGCAACCCGACUCCAUGAAGUUGGAUUCGCUAGUAAUCGCGCAUCAGCCAUGGCGCGGUGAAUACGUUCCCGGGCCUUGUACACACCGCCCGUCAAGCCAUGGGAGCUGGGGGUACCUGAAGUUCGUGACCCGCGAGGGAGCGACCUAGGGUAAACUCAGUGACUGGGGCUAAGUCGUAACAAGGUAGCCGUAGAAUC
rnacentral:rRNA from 1 species